AGGGCCCAUCUGCGUAAAGGUUGCACUCUCACACGAACAGUGGUUGAGGGAGCUGGGCAGCGCAAACAGGUCAUUCAAGAGAAAGUGGACCACCCCAGAAAAGGAUCAAAAACCCGUGAUCUCCAACAGCAUCUCCACCAGCUCUUUCACCGCUACUACGAAGAAGAAAAGAACAAUGAGGAGGAGGAAGGAAGAGUAAAUGAUUGAGUAACACUCUGCCCAACUCCCUCGUUGUGCCCAUGCUAAAAUCCCUGCUAGUCCUAUGCAUUAGUCACAUGCAAUCCUAGUGUGCACAAACACACCUCAAAGCUACCACAGUCUUCCCCUUUAGGACCUGGAAGAUGAUCUUUAGUUCUUGAUUUGGAGUUUUUUCCCUGUGUGGUUUCAAAGUACUUCUGAGUUUCUUUAUUUUAUUUUUUUUAUCUUUUUGCCUUUUGUGACCAAAGAAAGCCUUUUGUUGAUCUCCUGAUUGUUUUACUUUCUGAUUCAAGUUGUCUGAUAGGUUUGUCUUAUCCUGUGGUAGAGCAACAGAACACUCAAAGAAAACAGAGCGACACUAUCCCCAUCAAAUAACUCACAAACCUCCGAAGUACAUUUUACUUAAAAACACUGGUACUGCUCUUGGAGUAGGUGCUUGGACUGAAAGACGAUAUUUCACAUUGCACUGCCUCUCACAACUUUCACAGAUAAUCCUUUAUGAAAAAAAACAACUUCUCACUCACUGUACUAGCCUCUGCUUUUUUGAUUCAGAUGGUCAAGAUAUCACAAACAGAAAAUCAGACUGUACUGACACUGAAUUUAACUGCUGCUGUUGUGUUUCGUGUUGACUAUGUGUACUCUGUCUUUGGGAAUUAUAUAUUCUAUUUAAUCUCAACAUUACUGACAUCUGUAGCCUAGGAAUGAAUAAUCACUCAUGUGAACUUAACAGGCAUGACUAAUCAACAUCUGUCAGUUUGAUCCUAGCUUUGACUGCUUUGUCGUUGUGUGGAUUGCCCUUCUGCUUUUCUUUACCUUGUGUGUGUGUGUGUGUCUUUCAUUCUUUAUUAUUAUGUUUCAACUAAUCAUUGUUGACCUCCACUUUUAAAGUAUGGAUGUGAUGAGUGCAGGUGUAACUGUACGUGCUUUAGGUUUGAUUUUGUCUGUGCAUUUGAUGAGUUAAAUACCACACUGAACGCUGGUCAAAAGUUUCUGUAGGUGAUUUUAACUUGUUUGCUGAUGUUUGUUUGUUUUUUCAUUUUCGUGUAGAGAAGUUAUUUAAUUUAAUAAUUCAGCCCCUCAGGAUUUGGCACUGGGAAAUGAAAUAAUCCCAGUUUUCUAAUAUUACAUUUGCGGUAAGAUGAUGAUACACUCAGUGUUUUAUUUAUGUAAAGAUUUGUUAGUUUAUCUUUUGAAUCCGAUUGUUGAAGUAGAUAAAGGCGGUUUUGUGUUAUGUGUGUGAGUGAAUGAUUCGGCGUAUGUAGUUAAAGGAUGUGUAGCAGUUUCUGUCAGCAAAGAAAAGAAAUGUUUAUUUUACACAAUUAGCAUUUGCACUCCUGAAUUUCAGAAGAGGAAACCUCCAUGCUUUCUGUGCACUGCAAUACAAGGUACAGAAUAUAUCAGCCACAGGGAUAUACUCAUUGUGGAGGGAUUGCUGUAACAAAGCAGGUUGAGAGCUUAAAUAUAUGAUUAUCCACAGCUCGGAGCAUCGCUACUGUUUGUAUUUACAACAUGCAAUGUAUUUACUCUCACUCUCACUGUUUAUUUUGUGAUUUAGAGAAAAAAAUGCAAAUUAGUGGAGAUUCACUGUGACAGAUAUGCUUUUAAUUUGAAGACUCAGCAUCCCUUCUCUGUGAUGAUGACCCGUUAUAUACAUAUACAAUGCAUAUAUAAAUAAAUAUCUAUAAAGGCAUGUAUUACUGUAUCAAAAGUCAAGAAUGCAGAAAAGAAAAUGGCUGCAGUGUAUCUAUAGCUGAGAAUAAAAAUCUACAAAUGUGCAGUGUUGUAUCUGAUUACAUCUUUUAACUGUAAAAUGGGCCAUUUUGACAUGCCAAAAUAGUAGCUUGGGUGUAUUGUUGAUGGUUGUGUCUCAGGGGAGGUCUUGCAUAACCAAGUUCAGAGCUUACUGGAACUGAGAAUUAUUAAUUCCAUCUGUGCUUUUCUAGAAACUACUUUACUCUGCUUCUUUAUUUGCAAGAGGGCGCCUUGUCUGCAUAUUUGACCAUGAAUAUCAUGCUGGAUUUUCUUCCUGACUUAACUCCAAAAGGAUUUAUGUCUCAGAACUGAACUGGGGAGCUUUUGUUUGUUGGGAAAAUGUCUAAUACACUACACUUUUUCUACUGUGACAAAGGAAAAAUUAUCUUAAAAAUUGUCUUUUUUAAUUCCUGCUACAUCCAGUCCCAUCAGUUUUAUAAUAAAGAUAUGUUAGGCACAUGUACUUAGUAGAGUUUGUACUGCCUCCUGCUGGGCAUCAGGGGUAACCCAGAAGAAACAGAUUUCCAUUUAAACUCAAGAUAAAUGGGUUGCAUGAAUUUUACCUCACACUACACAUUUUCAAAGACACAGUUCCAGUCUUUAAAAAGUAUUACAAAUGAUCCAUAAAUCUGCACCCAUGUGUACUAAGAGUCAAAUCAGCUACUUGGGAAGAAAUGGUUUAUAAACAGGACAGCUUUCAUCACAGUGGGUUAAGAAAUUGAUUUGCCUAAUUGACACAUGUUCAGGUCUGUGUGAAAUGCACUCUUCUGGAGAUGUGAUCUAAAGAUCCUUUCCUUGGUUUAGCACCCUGCAGUUGUCCUUGUGCAAUAGCCC
ensembl:lncRNA